UGCUUAAGCAAUGUACCCUUUCUCACUCACCCCUCCCUGUGACAGGUCAGCACCCAGGAUGGAUGGGAUGUAAACUAAUACCUGCAUCUCUGAAGCCUGCAUUGCACACAAAGAUACAGUCAGCCAAUGCCAAGCAGAGAGCUGUAUCUUAGCGAAGCUGCCUCUGAUUUCCACUUAGAUAAACACACAGUCAAAACAGGUGCAUAUGUGUGUGCGUCUGAGAGACAAAGAUCAGCGCUCUGCAGCUGCAGCACUCCCUGUCAUGACUUUACUCGCAGAGUAAGUGAGUGAGUGAGUGGACAUUACCAAAUGAGGUAAAGUAGCGUUAAUGAAGGAGCAGUUCAUUCCCGGAGCCGUUUGCAGAACAAAGACAGUUAUUAGCGGGCAGCAGGAUGGCUAUUGUCGCACUACACCCGCUGUUUUAAUUAUCAAGCAAAGUCAGGUGGCCUGCGAACUCACUGCGAUAUAAAUGAUGAGGUCCUCUUAUUGUCCCGAGCCUGCGGUCGGUCUCAGCUGCUUAGCCUUCCAACCAACUUGCAGAGGCUAAGGAGCUAGCUAUCGUCCCACCGGCUCAGAAGGAAAAAAACAAAAACAUGGAAAAAACGGCAGAAGAUUUCGUCCUAAUUUCUCCGCGUCUUAGCUGCUUAAAAAAAUAAAAUAAUAAUAAAAAAAAUAAUAAAGCGUAUCACGUAGGAAAAAUAAAUAAAAUGGAAGCAGAUUAGGGUUUUUUGGUAUUUGCUCUCCCCUUCCAGGAGUCGUGAAUUGCAGACGCUCACCGUAAGAGAAAAUAUCCACGGUGCUUUCUCUUUAUUUUAAAUGACAGCCUCUCCGCGGUGCGCUGUCCUUUGUUGUGAGCAUCUCAACGUAAACACGGAGCCGACCCGUUCUGCCCGUUCUCCGCCUGCGAGCGUGCGCUGUAGGCGGGGACAGUGAGAGUGACGCCGCCGCACAGCAUCCUGGGACUUGAAGUUUUACCUCCCCCAACUUGUACGAGACCUGUCAGGCUUUUCAGUUUACACAAUUAUUAGCGUAAGUUAAAGAUAUGUAUAUAUAUAUAUAUAGCAAUAUUUCAGGUUUACAGAUAUUGGGAAUGCAGAUAAUUUAUUUCUUGUUAAUUU
ensembl:lncRNA